AUUCUGCCCAUGCGGGGAAGGAUGAGAAGCUUCGACUAAGGUUCGGCUCGAGCGUCAGCGAGAGAGCGUUGCCGCAGGCAACGACCCGAAGGGCGAAGCGCGCAGCGCUG
rnacentral:sRNA from 1 species